CCAAAGGCUUUUUAAUAGUAAAAGCCACCAAGUGCAAAUUUAAAGAUUUCG
rfam:Triticum aestivum genome assembly, contig: Triticum_aestivum_CS42_TGACv1_scaffold_472601_6AL